GACAGUCGCGUCGCAGUGAUGCGCUGAGGAACGUCCGGGCUUAAUGGGGCAAGGUGCCAGGUGACGCCUGGGUGGCGCGGGCUGACGGCCAGUGCAGCAGAAAGCAAACCGCCGAAGAUUGCCGGUAGCGGCGGGCGAGCUAAGGGUGAAACGGUGUGGCAAGAGCGCACCGCCUGUGGAGUCAACGCCGCCGGGCACGGUAAACCCAACCUCGAACAAGACCGAAUUGGCGAACCAUGACGCGGCCCGCGCCGUCCCCGGGUUGGUUGCUUGAGCCUGAUGGCGACGUCAGGCCCGGAGGAAUGGCUGUC
rnacentral:RNase_P_RNA from 1 species